rnacentral:misc_RNA from 1 species
GGAAGUAAAAGUCGUAACAAGAUUUCCGUAGGUGAACCUGCGGAAGGAUCAUUAUUGUAUAACCGAGGUGCGAGGGCUGUCGCUGACCCGAAAGGUCGUGCACGCCCGAGUGCCCUCACACAUCCAUCUCACCCCUAUGUGCACCACCGCGUGGGUCCCCCUUUGGCUUGUUCGGAGGGGGGCUUACGUUUUCACACAAACUUUGUAUGCAGUGUAGAAUGUAUUUUUUGUUUUUGCGAUCACGCAAUCAAUACAACUUUCAACAACGGAUCUCUUGGCUCUC